GCCUUCGUGGUGUAAUGGUCUUCAGCACACUGAGUCGGUAUUUCAGAGGUCCGUGGUUCGAUUCCCGGCGAAGGAA
rnacentral:tRNA from 1 species